rnacentral:rRNA from 1 species
AUUGAACGCUGGCGGCAUGCUUUACACAUGCAAGUCGAACGGUAACAGGGAGCUUGCUCCGCUGACGAGUGGCGAACGGGUGAGUAAUGCGUCGGAACGUGCCGAGUAGCGGGGGAUAACGCAUCGAAAGGUGUGCUAAUACCGCAUACGUACUGAGGUAGAAAGUGGGGGACCUUCGGGCCUCACGCUAUUCGAGCGGCCGACGUCUGAUUAGCUAGUUGGUGAGGUAAAGGCUCACCAAGGCGACGAUCAGUAGCGGGUCUGAGAGGAUGAUCCGCCACACUGGGACUGAGACACGGCCCAGACUCCUACGGGAGGCAGCAGUGGGGAAUUUUGGACAAUGGGCGCAAGCCUGAUCUAGCCAUGCCGCGUGUCUGAAGAAGGCCUUCGGGUUGUAAAGGACUUUUGUCCGGGAGCAAAUGCUGGUGGCUAACAUCCACCGGAGCUGAGAGUACCGGAAGAAUAAGCACCGGCUAACUACGUGCCAGCAGCCGCGGUAAGAC